rnacentral:rRNA from 1 species
CUUGGUCAUUUAGAGGAAGUAAAAGUCGUAACAAGGUCUCCGUAGGUGAACCUGCGGAGGGAUCAUUAAUAAGAUAAAAGACCUCUGGGUCCUUCAUUCUCAAACCUGUGGAAGCGAGAUGUGUUUCGGCGCCUCUGUGCGUCGAAUCUAUGCUGUUUAGCUUGUGUCUGACUGAAAACAAACAUUUAAAACUUUCAACAAAGGAUCUCUUGGCUCUCGUAUCGAUGAAGAACGCAGCAAAGCGCGAAAUGUAAUGUGAAUUGCAGAACAUUGUGAAUCAUCGAAUCUUUGAACGCACAUUGCGCCUCCCGUAAAUGGGAGGCAUGCCUGUCUGAGCGUCAUUUAAAACCAUAACCUUUGGGUUGUAUUGGGACUCGCCCUAUGGCGUCUCCUCAAAGUCAUCGUGUCUAAAAGCGUACGAGCUCCAUUAGGACAGAACGUUUGAGGACCCUAAACUCUCUGACUUGACCUCAGAUCAGGUAGGACUACCGCCUGAACUUAAGCAUAUCAAUAAGCGGAGGA